UAUCUGAGGCCUUCUGGAUGUUAGCAGCCUUUUCCCCUUAUUUCUGCACCCACUGCUGCCAUGUCUGAGCAGCUCCUUGCUUGCUGCAGGCUGGGAUCUUGCUGCUCUGCUGCCUUGUUGCACUUUCUAUGGUGUUACAAUCAUGUUGCGCUUGUAAACUAGGAUGUCCUGUUUCUGGUCUGCAGAUAUUUCCAUACAGCGAGAACUGUCUGCUCAGUACUGGUCACAGAAAGCACCUUGAAACUGCUACUCAGCAUUACAGAAGCUCUACUUCCAUUUCAGCCAAAGGUGGAGGAGCCGUUUUCACAGUGUAAUGAGCAAUGAUCUGUUGGAAAGACCACUCAGGCUUGUGAGAGACUGCAGGAGGACAUGCUGCUGCAUGGCUCCACUUCAUUCGAAAAGCAACUACACGUAACAUCUACCCAGAGACUAUAAUGCAGGUACAAAGGAUGCAGCUGGACUGCUAACCAUUUGGCUGGUAACCUUUCCACCUGGCACUCAUUUGCAUUAUUGAAAUAUAUAUUCCAGGUGACUCACCCCCUUUCUUUAGGUUACUGUUUGACUUUCAGACAUAGCUGGGGUCCUUCUGGUUAAAGAUGCAUGAAGUAAGCACCAGCAAGAAGCACCAGCACUGUUAUGCGUCAUCCUCCUUAAAAUCCUUGGUAUGCCUGUGUCUGCUGAUCAGUGCAGAAGAAAGACUAGUUCUAUUUUUAGAUGUGAUGGUAAAAACCAGUAUGAAUGGACACGCCAGCUUUCCUCAUUACAAGAAGAAGACUGAUCUGUCCUCCAGCAGAUAUCAUACAUUGUUUGCCAUGAGACCUGCAUUUAACCAAAGGAGAUCUUGUGGGAAAGGCUUUAUCUGUGACAGAAUGAUAUCUAUUUGAUAACUUACCCGCCGAAGACAGCUGCUGGUGCACAGUAGAAGCCAGAAAGAUAUAAAUGUAAAAAAGAGGUGAACAGAGAAAGAAAGGAUACAUCCUGAAGACAGAAAGAAAAUACUUGAAUCCUUUGACCCAUGUCUGUCUGUUGCCUUCCUGGAUGCAAGAGGGAAAUGAAAAAUGUAGAAAAAGCGUGCAAGCAAGUUCUCUGAGGCUAUUUGAUAAAGCUCCAUCAUGUUAUUAACAAAAGAGGGAAGAACCUGUGUCCAAUUAUGGCACUAGGGUUUUCUGUUGUUAUUUUUCUUAAAUCAGGAGUGAUUACCAUGAUGGCAUGGGGGUGGUCAGGCUAUAAUGAAAGGGAAUGUUUUUUCUAUAUGCAGUAGAAAGUUAGUAUCUUGGAACUCCAUACUAAUAGAUAAAAAUUAAUAGUGCUAUAGGAACCAACUGCCAUCCCUGCUUGUAUUUAGGCAAGAAAAAGGGAACUCAAAUGCUGUUUUUUGUCUCAGCUGAGCAUGCUAGGGUGGGAUUUUUAAAUGCAAAUAUUCAGGAAAGAGGACCUGUGCUUUCUGAGUGCUCCAAAAACAUGUAUUUUGUAAUUUUCUAAACCAUGAGCAAUGUGUUUAAAAUGCUGUCCUGGGACUUCUGAAUGCAGCUUCUCAAUGGUAGUUCUGGAAGGCAAGAGGACAAAAAAUUGCCUGGAUUCUGAUGGAAAUGACAGUGCUUAUGCAGCUUAAGACUUUGCAUAAUACUUGGUUAAAGUGACCUUGCAAAGGUUAAUCUUCCUUGAACAAAAAGAAGAAAAAGUGGUGCUCAAGUCCUUUAGCCUGAUGUUUAUUUUCAAGAGUAGUCUUUUUAUACUAACUGCUUACACUCAAUGGAUGUGCUUUACAGUAAUGCUUAUGCUGUGCAUGUUGCCAUUUCUACUUCCAUUUUAUGCCUACCAAUUUCAUCUGGAUAGAUGACUGCAACUUUUCCUUUUGGAUUUGGCCCUUAGCGCUGUUUCCCCUGUUUCUGUCAUUUUAAGAUGUUUGCGCCAUCCUUUACAAAAGUGCUGAAGCUUUAAAUCAUUGGGAAACUGCAACUAGUGAGAAAUGCAGCUAUUCAUUAGAGGGAACAUUUUGUACAGGCAAAUGUGAUCUUGGAAUUGUGGGCGGUUUGAGCUGAAAUUGAAGUCACUGGCUUUGACUUGGGACUUGAUACACAGAGAGAUUUCUUCUCUGGGCUGUGCUGUAGCUGCUGUAAUCCUUAAACUGGAGCUUUCUCAAUAUGAAAGAGGGGAGGAGCUUUGAUGGCUGUGAACAAACUGAAAUUACUGCCUGUCCUAGUGUCAAAAAUUGCCUUUCUGUGGUGACUUUUCAGGCUACUGUAAAAGCCAACUGUUUGAGAGUGUUUGGAGAAAGCUGAGAGCCAACUUCUCACAGCAGUGGUGAGGAAGGAAGUAAUUUCUGUUCAUUGUUGCAUUCCCACGUAAAUGAUUAGAUUAAGGCCUCUGUAUUUCAUUGUAUUGUAUAAAUUAAUGAUGAUGCUAUUAGGGAUCUACAGUCAUGGAUAUGGGGGAGAGGGGUGUCAUUUUAAUUCUAAAUAAAUUCUACAGGUGCUGCAGUGGUUUGUGUAAUUGACAAGAGGAGAAAUGAGUCAUCACAACACUGCCUCCUAGCUACAGGCAUAUGAGGGUUUGUAACAGAUUUCGAAGCACUGUUUUUCUCUGAUCUCACCAUCGAGACAAAUACUCUUUUGUAAAAUGUACAUUUUGAUUUCUGUAGAGUGACAAAUUGGUAUUAGUUUAGCUUAGCUCAAUCUUAUUUACCCAUGCAUUUACUUCUACCCCCACAAAUGGUCACAUCAGCUGUCACUACAGAGGUGGACCUCCAGUACUCUGAAAAACCCCUGUAAUGUCUAGUGCCUCAUAACAAAGUGUUGUCCCUGAGUGAUGGGCUGAGGGCACCAUGUUUAGAACAAGGAUGUUUUUUUCCAGCCCUCUCUGGAUGGAAAAGAAAGUCACAUGAUACAGAAGAGAGCAGCACGCAGAGACAGUUGUUUGCUUAGGUAGUAUUUGUCAGAACAGAAUUCCUUUGCUUUGAAAAUGAGGGGCAGGUUCUCAUAUGAGAUCUUUUAGGCAGAAUUGUUGGGAUUUCCGUAAACCAAGAGAUGUGGCUACAGAGAUGAAUUUCCAUGGCUCAGGUGGUGGCUCAUCUCACCCCUACAGGUCUAUCCUGAGGGAAGCUUUAGAACCAAACCAUGUGAGAACAAAGUGUGCUUUCAGCUGGGAUUAAGCCAGACAUCCGUGUUAUAGUUGUAUGCUCUUUUAUUUUGCAUGAUAAAUUACUCUCCUUUUAAAUAAAUAUGAUAGGUUUGUUUAUUCACAUUGUUUCAAUUCUGCAUUAUUCCUACUUCCUUGUACUGUCCAGUGCGCAUAUAUAAAUAUGGACACACCAUAUAAAAUCAAGUUGUCAGCAAACAGUGUUGCAUGGGUGAUUAGAUCAAUAAUGGAAUCCAGGAGCUACUGGUUUUGGUGAACAUCACCACUCUGGAAACACUUGGAACUUCCUGUAGCCUAAAUAUUGCUCAGAUAG